GCCUAUGUUCCAGAAUCCAGACGCUCAGACCCGAGACUUGGCGGCCAAGUAUUUCAAGCUGCCAAUAAAUUCAUUAAUUCUCAUAAAUUAAUUGAUUUAUUACAUUAAAAAGGUUAUCAUGUCAGUGCGAAGUAAAAAAUGAAUUAUUAAUAUUCUAGUAAUGAAUUCCGAUGAUAAAUAAAAAUAAAAAACAUAUUUUUAAUUAAUUAAAAUGUCAGAAGAGUUAAAAUAAAUUGAAGACGAUGAAAAAUUCUCAGAAGAGUAACAGCUCAUAUAUUUUACUAACAAAUUCAAUUGGUACCAAAUUUAUAAUUUAAAUAAUAUCUCGACCAUGGCAUUCAAGUAAAAUCGCUCGAGUUGAUAAAAUCAGUGGACUUAAAACACUUGCCAGCAAUAAUUAUUCAUUUCUGUGCAAACAAUAGCCGGUAAUUCUCAAAGCUCGGUACUUAUUAAUAAAAAUAAUUAAUAAUAUCAAAACAAUGAUAGGUUAAAUAUUUAAAUAGAAGCUUGAAAAUAAAUCUUCAAAAGCAGACCAACUGAAUGAUAUCCCGGAGCUUUUGGUCCCAUUGUACUGCGAAGACAAUAGAACUCUGCAAAGACAUUUUGAGACGAAUUACAUCCGCCGAAUCAUCGACUUCACCUUCAAUUUCAUUACCAUCUUCAUCUAAAUCUGCCAGCGAUGAGCUACAUUAUCGGACAGUAUUUGAGCUAUUAACACCGAACCGUGUAAAAGAAAACACUCAUACCGUCUUAGAAGUACUCCGGUUGACAUUUCACACCGUCGAUUCAUACUGAGCAGACCGUGUCAAGUCUUCGAGGACCAUUUUCACACCAAAAAUUUUUCACAGUAUGUUUCAAGUGGGAAAAUUUCAAAAAAAUUUCAAAAUGGCAUCCGGUAUGAUUUAAGGGAUUAAAAUUUUUCGGUUACUUAAGUUAAGUCACUAUUAUUUAAACCAAUAUGAGUACCGUAUUUAGACCACUAGCACUAUAAUUUUAUGACAUAAUUAUUUUGUUUUGCAGAUAUUUUACUGUCGGGCAUUUUGUACCGUACCAAGACAGUGUUAAGGUAAAAUAAUUUAUUAAAUUUAAUCUAAAUUUAUUACUCUCGGACACAUAGUUAAAAUCACGUCGAAACUAGCAUAUAAUGCAUUAAGGGAGCUCUACUUGCGACAAGAUGGAAUAGUUUGAGGGUUAAACUAGACUUAUAAUUUAUAAUACCCGCCGUAACUUGUACUACUAUUCAUAAAUAAAUACGUAAAAUUAACCAGUCUAUUAUACCAUAAAAUUUUUUGCUUAAUAAUCUAUCCAUUUAAAAAUAAGAUGAAGUCGUUUUUUAUUAAAACCAAACGUGUGAGGUCGCCAUAAGCCCUUACUUACAUUUAUAUACAUAUUUAUUCACUUCACACCACCGUAAUUAUCUACGAAAUCGUUAUAAGAGUAAGAAUAAGAACGUUUACUUACUUACUUACUCACUCACUCAUUCCUCAGUUACUCGGCUCGUCCUGUUGCAACGCACUCAGGCGUUACGUACCGACACUUACAACACCUGGGUGGUAUGAGACCGCAGGUAUGCACGCACAUUUUCAUUCACCAUUCCCGUAAAUAUGUAUCUUUACUAUACAUUAUUAAAUAUAUUUAGUUAUUUAUAUAUACAUAUAUUUAAAGAUCACAUUUAUUUUAUUUCAUCUAAUUUGUAUAUUAUAUUUAUAAAGGUAUAUUUAAGUCUUUGCUUGAUGGAAGAAAAAGAAAAUAAAUGAAAUGAUCUCUUGAGAUAUUUUAAUCAAAGCUCUUGUAGACUUUUCAUUCAAGUACCCGCCCUGUGUAUAUUUAUUUAUUUUUAGAUGAUAAUGAUUUUAA